rnacentral:rRNA from 1 species
GACGAACGCUGGCGGCGUGCUUAACACAUGCAAGUCGAACGGAAAGGCCCUGCUUUUGUGGGGUGCUCGAGUGGCGAACGGGUGAGUAACACGUGAGUAACCUGCCCUUGACUUUGGGAUAACUUCAGGAAACUGGGGCUAAUACCGGAUAGGAGCUCCUGCUGCAUGGUGGGGGUUGGAAAGUUUCGGCGGUUGGGGAUGGACUCGCGGCUUAUCAGCUUGUUGGUGGGGUAGUGGCUUACCAAGGCUUUGACGGGUAGCCGGCCUGAGAGGGUGACCGGCCACAUUGGGACUGAGAUACGGCCCAGACUCCUACGGGAGGCAGUAGUGGGGAAUAUUGCACAAUGGGCGGAAGCCUGAUGCAGCAACGCCGCGUGCGGGAUGACGGCCUUCGGGUUGUAAACCGCUUUCGCCUGUGACGAAGCGUGAGUGACGGGAAUGGGUAAAGAAGCACCGGCUAACUACGU